GACGAACCGUGCGAACGUUGUUCGGAUUCACUGGGCUUAAAGGGCGCGUAGGCGGGCUGUCAAGUCUGGGGUGAAAUCCCGCGGCUCAACCGUGGAACUGCCUCAGAUACUGACGGUCUCGAGGGAGGUAGGGGCGAGCGGAACUGAUGGUGGAGCGGUGAAAUGCGUUGAUAUCAUCAGGAACUCCGGUGGCGAAGGCGGCUCACUGGUCCGGUACUGACGCUGAGGUGCGAAAGCGUGGGGAGCAAACAGG
rnacentral:rRNA from 1 species